GACCAGGAAGAGGAGAUGUAUUUCCUGAGAAAAAGUGACAGGGUUUGUCCUGGUCUUCCUGUUGGAUUCUGGGAGAAAAAUCAAAAGACUUGGCUGCUUUGUGAGGAAGCUGCACAAGAAGUCUCCAGCUGUGACACUUUGCAGGGGAACCAUCAGACAUCCCAGUGGGGAGAGCACCACAUGUCAGAAGGAGUUUGGAGGGUAGAGCAAAGCAUCAACACAGGAGGCAGGAUGAGCCUGUGGAAACCAGCUGCAGCACAGAGGAGGAAGAAGGAUCUGAAGUAUCAUGGGAUGGGAAUAGGGGACCCCGAUUUGCAGACAUCACCCAGUUGGGCUCACACCAAGGAUGUGAAAGGCAGCUAUAACCAUGCUAGAGUGCUGGCUGGAGAAACAGGUCUUGAUAUACAGCAGCAAAC